GACGAACGCUGGCGGCGUGCUUAACACAUGCAAGUCGAACGGAAAGGCCCUGCUUUUGUGGGGUGCUCGAGUGGCGAACGGGUGAGUAACACGUGAGUAACCUGCCCUUGACUUUGGGAUAACUUCAGGAAACUGGGGCUAAUACCGGAUAGGAGCUCCUGCUGCAUGGUGGGGGUUGGAAAGUUUCGGCGGUUGGGGAUGGACUCGCGGCUUAUCAGCUUGUUGGUGGGGUAGUGGCUUACCAAGGCUUUGACGGGUAGCCGGCCUGAGAGGGUGACCGGCCACAUUGGGACUGAGAUACGGCCCAGACUCCUACGGGGGGCAGCAGUGGGGAAUAUUGCACAAUGGGCGGAAGCCUGAUGCAGCAACGCCGCGUGCGGGAUGACGGCCUUCGGGGUGUAAACCGCUUUCGCCUGGGACGAAGCGUGAGUGACGGUAAUGGGUAAAGAAGCACCGGCUAACUACGUG
rnacentral:rRNA from 1 species